GACGAACGCUGGCGGCGUGCUUAACACAUGCAAGUCGAACGGAAAGACCCUGCUUUUGUGGGGUGCUCGAGUGGCGAACGGGUGAGUAACACGUGAGUAACCUGCCCUUGACUUUGGGAUAACUUCAGGAAACUGGGGCUAAUACCGGAUAGGAGCUCCUGCUGCAUGGUGGGGGUUGGAAAGUUUCGGCGGUUGGGGAUGGACUCGCGGCUUAUCAGCUUGUUGGUGGGGUAGUGGCUUACCAAGGCUUUGACGGGUAGCCGGCCUGAGAGGGUGACCGGCCAAAUUGGGACUGAGGUACGGCCCAGAAUCCUACGGGAGGCAGGAGGGGGGAAUAUUGCAAAAUGGGGGGAAGCCUGAUGCAGCAACGCCGCGUGCGGGAAGACGGCCUUUGGGGUGUAAACCGCUUUCGCCUGUGACGAAGCGUGAGUGACGGUAAUGGGUAAAGAAGCACCGGCUAACUACGUG
rnacentral:rRNA from 1 species